rnacentral:lncRNA from 1 species
GGAAGGAAAAUGGAGCAGAAGCAUGUAGCCUGGAGAAACUGACCCCUGAAGAGAACACAGUCCUGAUCAUAACUUGGUAUUAUCCCAGUGAAACCUCCACUACACUGGGCAUACAAAGGGGAUUCUCCAGCUGGCCAUGAGCUAUGCAACCCUACCAAAGACACACGGUCCUCUUCUCUGCUCCACUUAAGACAGAUAACAGCAGAAAGCAAGCUAGCACUAAGCAUCAUUUAGAAGACAUAUGGACUGGAUCAAGCAAUGAAAAUGACCCCAGGUUGCAGCAGCCAGCAUCUGGGUUCUUCUCAGCCAUCUUCAGAUAAACAAGCUGCUAUCCCUACUUCACAGACAAGGAACUCAGGGACUCUCAAGAAAGAAGUCAGAGGCUGUGAUUACUGCAGGCCUACUUGUCAUGAUCAGUCUCUAAGGGCUCAUGGAUAAGAAACACUGAUUAAGACCCCAAGGUCAGACUUGCGGCACAUCUUAGCAGGUGGUUCUCCUGAGGUCAAGCAUUUCCUCCUUUCCUGCUACAGUUUCCCUCACUAAGGAGCCCUUUUGGCAUGCUCAAGGUCAAAGUGCCCUUUGCAUUUCUCUAAACUCUGCCUUGUUUUGCAGAGGUUGUGAUAGGCUCAG